GUAAUGAAAAUAAUGAUGGAAAAGAAAAUUUAUAAUGAAAUUGAAAUGAUGAGUCUGGUUAGGGCGGUACUUUCCUGUUGAUCAUCUCAGCCACUAACAAACUUAACCCGUCCACUGCGAUUGGCAUGGAUUUGACUUUCACUGGUAGCCUGGUAACAUAUAGUCCCUGGUCUUUCUCUGCCUCUGUGGUGGAUAGUGGAGUGUUUCCCAUGUGGUAUUGGUGUGCUGGAUAUCCCUUCACUGGUAGCCUGGUAACAUAUAGUCCCCAGUCUUUCUCUGCCUCUGUGGUGGAUAGUGGAGUGUUUCCCAUGUGGUAUUGGUGUGCUGGAUAUCCCUCCACUGGUAGCCUGGUAACAUACACUCCCAGUCUUUCUCUGCCUCUGUGGUGGAUAGUGGAGUGUUUCCCAUGUGGUAUUGGUGUGCUGGAUAUCCCUUCACUGGUAGCCUGGUAACAUACACUCCCAGGUCUUUCUCUGCCUCUGUGGUGGAUAGUGGAGUGUUUCCCAUGUGGUAUUGGUGUGCUGGAUAUCCCUUCACUGGUAGCCUGGUAACACACACUCCCAGGCCUUUCUCUGCCUCUGUGGUGGAUAGUGGAGUGUUUCCCAUGUGGUAUUGGUGUGCUGGAUAUCCCUUCACUGGUAGCCUGGUAACACACACUCCCAGGUCUUUCUCUGCCUCUGUGGUGGAUAGUGGAGUGUUUCCCAUGUGGUAUUGGUGUGCUGGAUAUCCCUUCACUGGUAGCCUGGUAACAUACACUCCCAGGUCUUUCUCUGCCUCUGUGGUGGAUAGUGGAGUGUUUCCCAUGUGGUAUUGGUGUGCUGGAUAUCCCUUCACUGGUAGCCUGGUAACAUACACUCCCAGGCCUUUCUCUGCCUCUGUGGUGGAUAGUGGAGUGUUUCCCAUGUGGUAUUGGUGUGCUGGAUAUCCCUUCACUGGUAGCCUGGUAACAUACACUCCCAGGUCUUUCUCUGCCUCUGUGGUGGAUAGUGGAGUGUUUCCCAUGUGGUAUUGGUGUGCUGGAUAUCCCUCCCAAGGUGCAGGACUUUGCAUUUUUCUUCACUGAAUUGUAGCAGCCACUUUUCAUUCCAUUCCUGUAGAUUGGCGAGGUCUUCUGGUAGGAAAUCCACAGUCAGGGGGUUAACCUGAGCCUCACGUCAAAUGUAAAAAAAUAAAUGAAAAACUCCGCACCUGAGAAUAUACCAUUAGCACAUUUUCUUUGGCUAAUAUGGAAAUAAAGGUAGCCAUCUUAUGUGAGGUUAACUCUUUCACGCACCAAAAGUUUAACAAGUUUCUCUUUCUACUGCGCCAUCCGUCUGGGGCUCCCUCGGGGGCCUCGUGGAAUGGCCUGACCGUGUGGCGAAAAUUUUAUUGAUUUCACCCACGAGUAUUCUUUUUCCCGGCAUUAUUAUAUUUCGUUGGUUUUGAAAGAGAUUAUACUGCCUUAGGAAAGAAAAGAUAUCAAGAAAUGCAAAUAUGUAGCGAAGUUUACCGACUGAUAAAAAAACAGUUUAAAGAGACAACAGUUGCGUUCAAGUUAGGUUAUGUUAGGUUGUUAUUAUUUUGAUAGCGAAGGUUUUGGGUUAGGUUAGGUUAG